AAAUUGAAGAGUUUGAUCAUGGCUCAGAUUGAACGCUGGCGGCAGGCCUAACACAUGCAAGUCGAGCGGUAGCACAGAGAGCUUGCUCUCGGGUGACGAGCGGCGGACGGGUGAGUAAUGUCUGGGAAACUGCCUGAUGGAGGGGGAUAACUACUGGAAACGGUAGCUAAUACCGCAUAACGUCGCAAGACCAAAGUGGGGGACCUUCGGGCCUCAUGCCAUCAGAUGUGCCCAGAUGGGAUUAGCUAGUAGGUGGGGUAACGGCUCACCUAGGCGACGAUCCCUAGCUGGUCUGAGAGGAUGACCAGCCACACUGGAACUGAGACACGGUCCAGACUCCUACGGGAGGCAGCAGUGGGGAAUAUUGCACAAUGGGCGCAAGCCUGAUGCAGCCAUGCCGCGUGUGUGAAGAAGGCCUUCGGGUUGUAAAGCACUUUCAGCGGGGAGGAAGGUA
rnacentral:rRNA from 1 species